rnacentral:rRNA from 1 species
UACGUAGUGGGCAAGCGUUGUCCGGAUUCAUUGGGCGUAAAGGGUGCGUAGGCGGCGCGGUAAGUCGGGUGUGAAAUCUCGGAGCUUAACUCCGAAACUGCAUUCGAUACUGCCGUGCUUGAGGACUGGAGAGGAGACUGGAAUUUACGGUGUAGCGGUGAAAUGCGUAGAUAUCGUAAGGAAGACCAGUGGCGAAGGCGGGUCUCUGGACAGUUCCUGACGCUGAGGCACGAAGGUCAGGGGAGCAAACGGG